rnacentral:rRNA from 1 species
UACGUAGGGUGCAAGCGUUGUCCGGAAUUAUUGGGCGUAAAGAGCUCGUAGGCGGUCUGUCGCGUCUGCUGUGAAAACUCAGGGCUUAACCCUGAGCUUGCAGUGGGUACGGGCAGACUAGAGUGCGGUAGGGGAGACUGGAAUUCCUGGUGUAGCGGUGAAAUGCACAGAUAUCAGGAGGAACACCGGUGGCGAAGGCGGGUCUCUGGGCAACAACUGACGCUGAGGAGCGAAAGCGUGGGGAGCAAACAGG